AGACCAUAGUCCGAGGACCGCUGCUGGGUCCCGACCCGACACAUCCUGGACUCAACGCUCAUCCGAGACUUCCAUCGCCGCAAUCCCGGUCAGCCAGGCGCGGCCCCCGGUAGGGCGCCCAGGGGCGCACGUUGAGGGGGGGGGCACUGUCACAGCCAGUGUCUCGUCAAGUGUUUGUCUCUACCCUCUCCCAGGUGUUUCUCGUCCCCUGAUUGCCUCCCCAGUGUAUUUAACCUCUGUUCGUUUGUCGGCUCCCUGCCAGAUCGUCUUGUGUUGUUUCCAAACUUUCCCGGCCUGCUCUUCGUACCUGACCCUCCCGCCUGUCUGACCACACCUGUCUCCAGCCUGGCCCCCCGCCUGCCUGACUACGCCCGUCUCCUGCCUGGCCCCCGCCUGUCUGACCAUCCCGUAUCGUGCUCUCGCCCAGGUCACGUUACUCACAAAUAAAAACUCCUGUAUCCAGCUUACCUGUGUCCCGCGUCUGCUACUGUGUCGUUUCCUGACGGACCGUGACACACUAUCCUCCUGCUGUCUUUCACGCUGACCUCUUUAAUGAUGAUGCUGAUGCUGGUGAUGAUGAUGAUAUGAACAAUGAAAUUAACCGUAUGCUUCAAAGGUACAGGUUAGGGCUACCCGAUGAGGAGGAGGUUUUUGUUGGCGAGGGUGAGUUUCCAUUUCUGGUCCCGGUGCUGGACAUUGAAGACAUUGGCCCAGUGCCCCCAGAAGAUUCUUUUGAUGAGCUCCUGGAUGCAGAUGUCCUUGAAUCUCCUUCUGGCCUCGACUUCUCCACAAAACGACCCAGGGAAGAGAGUGUUGGGGAGGAGUCUGCUGCGAAGAGGGCACGGUGGUCAGAAGACAGCGACUCGGCUCUGUCCUACAACUGUUUUUUUCCCAUUUAAGGCCAGGUGAAAAAAUCAUUUGUUAUGUCAUGCAAAGAUAAUCUUUCUCAGUCUGCAGCAUCACAAGAAGCGCUCAGACGUCCAUACAGGGAGCAGCACUCAAUAUUCCUGCUGGACAUCCAGAGACUCAACUUCCUGCACUACAUCCAGGGUGACCAUGAGGAGAAAAGACUAUCGCUCACUCCUGAACAGAUGCGAAGGAUGGCUGAUCAGAGGACCAGCUGAAGGGCUGUGGGCACGGUUCACUGGAGGCAGCACUCCUGUUGUCCUUUGGAAAUCCUCGUGCUCCUGAGGGUGGAUGUGAACAGAAUCGCCCAGAGCCAUCCUCUCAGCACAUUUAUCUACCUCACUGCUAAGGGGAAUCAUUCAAUAAAACAUUUGAGACAUCUUAUGGAACACUUUUUUUUUGAGGUGGUAUGGUUCAACCUCAUGUUCAUGUGAAGCUUUUGAAAUAGUGAAUCGGUUGCAGGUGUCAUGGAAUGAAUCGUGGUUUAAAUGGCCCUAAAAGAGCAUUGCAUCUUUCAACAAAAAGGCACAGUCAUGUGGAUUACUCCGUUGAACAUAGAAUUUAAGUGAGUCCAUGUACUGAUUAAAGCACUGCCACAUAUCGCACAGUUGAGGAACCAUCAAAGGCCAGGGAACUAAGAAGAUGAUGGAUUAUAAACACUUCCAGAAUAAUGAGGUAAUGAGCUUCAAGUUGGGUCUGUGAAACAAAUUCUGCUUUCUUCACACAUGCAAAUACUGAGAAGAUACCAAAAUGUAUCCGCUUUGGGUCUCAGCCUAAUCGGUUUCAGUGUUAGUUUUCCAAAAUACGCAAUUGUCACGUUGUGUCACGGUAUCGGACGGCAAAGAUCCACGCGCAGAGGGAGGUCACAAAAUAAGGGUUUUAAAGUUCAACAGAAACAGCGAGCCGAGCUCGAUGGCAAAAACAAAAAUGCAUUCUCUAGGAGACCAGCUAGGCAAAAGGCAAAACAAAAAAUAAUCCUCCGGACAGGGGAAUCUCCUCCUUGGAGAGCGAAGCUCGACAGGAGCCCGCAGGAUGCAGCCCCCGCGGCACGACGAUGGAGACCGGACGAGCAGGACUUGGCUGUGCGCAAAAACAGAGGUGGUAUUGAGGCUGCUGGACAGGGCAAGGGCUUGACUCACAAGAAUAAUCCGACAAGACACAAAGGGAACACAUGCAAGAUAUAGACAGGGUGAUUAGACAUGACGAGAAACAGGUGUAACAGCAAACGGCGCGGGAACUGAUUGAAAUGAGCGGCAGGUGGAUGGGAAGGCUAUGUGAGAAGUGGGUGUGUGCGCUAAGGUGAGACUAAUGGGCAAAUGAGUGUGUCAGUGAAUGUAUAUGGAAGAGGGGAAGAGAGAGAGAGACCCGGAUCCUGACAGUAAUACAGUCUUUAACAUUGAUACAACAUUUUACUGGAGACAAGAAGACCUUUUCCUAAUGCUUCUUCCUCAUCUACUUGAUCUCAGAACAUGUGUAAUCAUUCAGGUUUGGGUAUGUUCCCACAUACAGCAGCAGGAUGUAACACCAAGUAGGCAUUCAAGUCAUUGAAUAUAUGGAGAGCCCUGCAUGCACCUCUUGUACUAGGAACAAUGCAGCCUUAAUAAACACAAGGUAGCCCUGCACCUUGAACUCUCCAUUUUGUACUGGAUGCAGAGGUUUCAAAAGGAAGGAUGAAAUAAAAAGGGUUUUUUUUCUUCAGGUUAUUUCAGAAACAGUUAAUUGUGUAAAGAAAGAGGCCCGCACAGGUGAUUAUACGAUGGAAGUUUUUAUUGUUUUCCGUUCUGCCCGAUAUCUCCCUCGGUGCCGUCGCUCGCUCGGUGAUGGCUCUCCCGGUCAUGUCGCUCUCAACUGGCGCCGUUCCCUAAGCCGCUCCCCCUCUCUCCCCUCUGCAGCCGAGCCAAAACCACGCCCGCCACCACAGCUGUUAAUUCUUUUCUCAACUUUUGUUGAAGAGUAUUUACAUUGUGAUUAGAAAUGUCUAAAAACCACAGCAAUAUCAAUAACAAUACAGGAGCAAUAGAAAGUGACCCACAUCAAUGAUCAAAAUGUGAUAUGUUUUAUCUGUGCUUUUACAGAGGUGACGUCAUCCAGGCACACCCGGCAGAGGCAUGACGAAGAGGAGGCUUGCAGCUGAAACGAUGAUGGCUGAUAAAGAUGUGUCGAAUUUUGCCAAAUCUCCCCCACUGAUAGGGCCUUUUUCUCUGAAUUAGCAACCAAAAAGACCAAUAAAAUGAAUAUCCUAUUUCCUUCACUUUGUUUAUUGUCUUCAUAGAUCUUCACUGGUACAUGCUGGUUACUACUGUCUAUUUCUUUAAGUAGUUGCACAAGAUACAUGCUCUCUUGAGUAGUGGCUGCUAGCGCCAUAUACUCCGCUUUGCAGGUGGAUAAUGCCACUGUUGGAUGUUUCCUACUCUUCCACGAUAUAAGUGGACCAUUCUCAGUAAAGCUGAAACAGUAUCCACUUGUGCUCCUCCUGUCAUUUUUAUUGGCUGCCCAGUCAGCAUCACCGUAUGCCUCCGGCUGUAGUAGGCUUUCCUCACAUUUGGGCAGCUACUUCCGUUUUCGCUUUCGUGUUGCGGCGUUCGUGUUGCGUUGCGGCGUUCGUGUUGUGUUGUGGCAUUUGCGGUUGUGAUGUGGCUUUUGUAUUUUCGUGUUGCGGCGUUCGUGUUGUGUUGUGGCAUUUGCGGUUGUGAUGUGGCUUUUGUAUUUUGUGUUGU